AGUGAACGCUGGCGGUAGGCCUAACACAUGCAAGUCGAACGGCAGCACAGUAAGAGCUUGCUCUUACGGGUGGCGAGUGGCGGACGGGCGAGGAAUACAUCGGAAUCUACUUUUUCGUGGGGGAUAACGUAGGGAAACUUACGCUAAUACCGCAUACGACCUACGGGUGAAAGCAGGGGAUCUUCGGACCUUGCGCGAUUGAAUGAGCCGAUGUCGGAUUAGCUAGUUGGCGGGGUAAAGGCCCACCAAGGCGACGAUCCGUAGCUGGUCUGAGAGGAUGAUCAGCCACACUGGAACUGAGACACGGUCCAGACUCCUACGGGAGGCAGCAGUGGGGAAUAUUGGUCAAUGGGCGCAAGCCUGAUCCAGCCAUACCGCGUGGGUGAAGAAGGCCUUCGGGUUGUAAAGCCCUUUUGUUGGGAAAGAAAAGCAGCAGGUUAAUACCCCGCUGUUCUGACGGUACCCAAAGAAUAAGCACCGGCUAACUUCGUG
rnacentral:rRNA from 1 species